GCUGAGGUAAUGGUGGCAGCGGCAAUGGUCGAACACGAUGUGCCAUUUGCAGUAGCAUUUUAUUUUGGCCCAUUACUGAAAGAAUGCUUUAAAGAUCCCCCCACUGCGCAGAACUACAACAUAAUAAAUGAAGCAGCGGCGCCACAUUUUAGAAAGGAAUUGGUUAAGAAGAUGAGGUAAAAUGCUUUAACAAUGAUCACAGAUGGGUCAAACUCUACAGGUAUAUUUUUUUCAUUUUCCACACUUUCAAGCACCCAUUUUUAUAGAUAUUAUAAUUCACAGAACACACACAUACUUCAGCCUGACGUGUAGCUUUAAUCUGACAGACAUGCACCUUAUCAUUGCAGGACGAGAGAAGAUGCACCCUCACAUUGUGCGGGUGCAUAUGACGGUGACACCAGCAAAGUUGUCCACAGGUUUUUGAUAUGUGCACCACCAGCGGGCGUAGCUGUGGCACAGCUGAAGUUAUCUAUCAAAAGAUGAAUGAGGCCUUGCAAAAAAAUACUAUACCAUGGGGAAACUGUGUAAGUCUGUCCAUUCAUAAUGCACCUGUCAAUACAGGAGCAAAAAAUGUCAUCGCAUCAAGAAUUCUUCAUGAAAAUGGCAACAUCUACGUCCAUGGGUGCCCCCGUCACAUCAUUCACAACUCUGCCAGACAGACUGGGCUGGGGUUUUUGGAGGUGUCUGGAAUUGAUCCAGAGGAUCUGAUUGUGGAUGUGGGAUACUAGUUUAGCGGUAGCACCAAUCAUAAAGGUUACCUAACAGAAUUUUGUGAGUUCCAUGGAAGUGGUUAUAUGGGAGCACUCCAUGCACAUUUCCAUUGGAUGGUUGAACCAGGAGAGGUGUUCUGCAGCAGUAUGAGCCACUGGCCAGCUACUUCAAGUCAUCAAAAACAACCAAGGUUCAGGAGGCUUUUGGAAGCAUUUUCUAACCCAAUAACAGAGGUGUACCUGUUCUUCUAUCAAGCAAUGUUGCCAGUCUUCUCCAACUUCAACCGCCUCCUCUAGAGAGAGAUGUCCUCCAUCUUCCUUCCACAUGAUGAGAUGACAAAUUUCAUCCCUAAGUUGUCCUCGAAGUUUCUGAAGCCUGUAGCACUGCAGAGCCGGGAAUCGCAUGAAAUCAUCUAAAAAGGACCCAUCAAACCAACUGCCAAGAGAAAAGCUGAAUAUUGGCUUUACUACUUGAGCUACACUCAACAGGCUCCUUGAUGCAGGAGACAUUACAAACAGCAGCAAGUGAAGAGGUUCCAACAGGCAGCACUGACAUUUCUGGUCAGGGCUGUGGAGUAUGCCAUGAAGAAACUACCCCUGAGAGAGCCCCUGCUCAAACAUGCCAUGUUUGUUGAUGUCCAGCAGAGGACAGAGUGUGGAGUGGAAGAUGCCUUGUACUUAGUCGACAGCUACUGUAACUUCAUAAGAUCAGUGCACAGUGUGUUCUUUUUGGUUUGCUGAACGUCUCCCGUACCAGGGACCUCAAGAGCAUGACCAAUUACCAUUACCAGUUCAAGACCAAGCCACAUUUGAUGUUUAGAGCUUUUAGGGGAACAUGGCAUCAAUGAAGAAUAAGGUGACCGGGAUGAGCAGAUUUGGAAGGCUCUCUCGUAUUGCCAAGUUGGUGUUGGUACUUCCACUAGCAAAUGCUGCUGCUGAACGAGUGUUCUCUGUGGUGUGGCUGAACAAAACCAAAACUGUUUGGCUCUUGAUGGAACCCUUUUCUCCAUCCUGACAGUUGGCCGGCCUUGAGCCACAAUGUUUCAACACACGCUGCUGCUGAGGCGCUGCUGCUGACUAAGGGGCUGAUUUGAAUCAUUCCUUAAAAAGUUGCUGCUGCGAAGCUAACAGCCAGAGAGGACGAGACCUUUCCCAGAGUCAACACACCAGCU